rnacentral:rRNA from 1 species
UACGAAGGGGGCUAGCGUUGUUCGGAUUUACUGGGCGUAAAGCGCACGUAGGCGGAUCGUUAAGUCGGGGGUGAAAUCCUGGAGCUCAACUCUGGAACUGCCUUGAUACUGUCGAUCUGGAGUAUGGAAGAGGUGAGUGGAAUUCCGAGUGUAGAGGUGAAAUUCGUAGAUAUUCGGAGGAACACCAGUGGCGAAGGCGGCUCACUGGUCCAUUACUGACGCUGAGGUGCGAAAGCGUGGGGAGCAAACAGG